CUUGUGUGACCGCGUACUUUUUGUAGAACGGGCCAACGAGUUACGUUAAGUAGCAAGGUUAAGCACUUAAGGUGUGGAGCCGUAGCGAAAGCGAGUUUUAACUGAGCGUUCAGUUACUGGACGUAGACCCGAAACCGGGCGACCUACCCAUGAGCAGGAUGAAGCGAAAGUAAAAUUUCGUGGAGGUCCGAACCCACGGGCGUUGAAAAGCUCGGGGAUGACUUGUGGGUAGCGGUGAAAUUCCAAUCGAGCCCGGAGAUAGCUGGUUCUCCCCGAAAUAGCUUUAGGGCUAGCCUCAAGGUGAGAGAUACGGAGGUAGAGCACUG
rnacentral:rRNA from 1 species